rnacentral:rRNA from 1 species
CCUACGGGAGGCUGCAGUGGGGAAUAUUGGACAAUGGGCGAAAGCCUGAUCCAGCCAUGCCGCGUGUGUGAAGAAGGCCUUCGGGUUGUAAAGCACUUUCAGUGGGGAAGAAAGCCUUGGGGCUAAUACCCUCGAGGAAGGACAUCACCCACAGAAGAAGCACCGGCUAACUCCGUGCCAGCAGCCGCGGUAAUACGGAGGGUGCGAGCGUUAAUCGGAAUUACUGGGCGUAAAGCGCGCGUAGGCGGUCUGAUAAGCCGGUUGUGAAAGCCCCGGGCUCAACCUGGGAACGGCAUCCGGAACUGUCAGGCUAGAGUGCAGGAGAGGAAGGUAGAAUUCCCGGUGUAGCGGUGAAAUGCGUAGAGAUCGGGAGGAAUACCAGUGGCGAAGGCGGCCUUCUGGACUGACACUGACGCUGAGGUGCGAAAGCGUGGGUAGCAAACAGGAUUAGAUACCUCAGUAGUC